rnacentral:rRNA from 1 species
UACGUAGGGUGCAAGCGUUGUCCGGAAUUAUUGGGCGUAAAGAGCUCGUAGGCGGCUUGUCGCGUCGGCUGUGAAAACCUGGGGCUCAACCCCGGGCCUGCAGCCGAUACGGGCAAGCUAGAAUUCGGUAGGGGAGACUGGAAUUCCUGGUGUAGCGGUGGAAUGCGCAGAUAUCAGGAGGAACACCGAUGGCGAAGGCAGGUCUCUGGGCCACUACUGACGCUGAGAAGCGAAAGCGUGGGGAGCGAACAGG